AUGUUUUCCCCCAUUUCUCUUACAUCUGCAAACACAUCAUAUAUCUCUUCCUAUCUCUCUGGCCACCUUCAUCUUCUUCUCCUUAAACCUACUUCAAACCCAUUCUACCAACCUUCAUCUCCUUCAUCUCUCAAACCUAUUACCAAACUUCUCAUGGAGCACGAUUUAGUGAUUGAUCCUCACAACGAUGGAGCAAAAAUGAUUUCAGAUUUAAGGUUUGGUUCGAGUAAAUAUAUUUUUAUUUUCUUUAUGAUUCUUUGUUUUUUAAUGGAUUUUGUGGGUCUCAUGUGUUGA